rnacentral:rRNA from 1 species
GGCCAUACCUCCUUGUCUAAGCCUGAUGUCAUCAGAUUUCUGAAGCUAAGCUGGACAACUUGGGCUUGGUUAGUAUUUGGAUGGGAGGCCACUGGGAAUAGCAGGUGCC